rnacentral:ncRNA from 2 species
UAUUUAUCAUGAUUGCGGUGAGAGAUCUGGCUCUGCGACCCGCUGGCAACCAUCUUUAAGAAAGUUUAAAGAAAGGUGCCCCAUCCAGCCCUAAGAAGGGAGAGAUAAAGG